UAUUGGACAAUGGGGGCAACCCUGAUCCAGCCAUGCCGCGUGUUUGAAGAAGGUCUUUGGAUUGUAAAGCACUUUAAGUGGGGAGGAAGGGCAGUAGGUUAAUACCUUGCUGUUUUGACGCUACCGACAGAGUAAGCCCCGUCUCGCUUCGUGCCAGCAGCCGCGGUAAUACGAAGGGUGCAAGCGUUAAUCGGAAUUACUGGGCGUAAAGCGCGCGUAGGUGGUUCAGUAAGAUGGGUGUGAAAUCCCCGGGCUUAACCUGGGAACUGCUUUCAUAACUGCUGAGCUAGAGUACGGUAGAGGGUAGUGGAAUUUCCUGUGUAGCGGUGAAAUGCGUAGAUAUAGGAAGGAACACCAGUGGCGAAGGCGACCACCUGGGCUAAUACUGACACUGAGGUGCGAAAGCGUGGGGAGCAAAC
rnacentral:rRNA from 1 species